rnacentral:rRNA from 1 species
AUUGAACGCUGGCGGCAGGCCUAACACAUGCAAGUCGAGCGGAUGAAGGGAGCUUGCUCCUGGAUUCAGCGGCGGACGGGUGAGUAAUGCCUAGGAAUCUGCCUGGUAGUGGGGGAUAACGUCCGGAAACGGGCGCUAAUACCGCAUACGUCCUGAGGGAGAAAGUGGGGGAUCUUCGGACCUCACGCUAUCAGAUGAGCCUAGGUCGGAUUAGCUAGUUGGUGGGGUAAAGGCCUACCAAGGCGACGAUCCGUAACUGGUCUGAGAGGAUGAUCAGUCACACUGGAACUGAGACACGGUCCAGACCCCUACGGGAGGCAGCAGUGGGGAAUAUUGGACAAUGGGCGAAAGCCUGAUCCAGCCAUGCCGCGUGUGUGAAGAAGGUCUUCGGAUUGUAAGGCACUUUAAGUUGGGAGGAAGGGCAGUAAGUUAAUACCUUGCUGUUUUGACGUUACCAACAGAAUAAGCACCGGCUAACUUCGUG